UACAGAGGUCUCAAGCGUUGUUCGGAUUCAUUGGGCGUAAAGGGUGCGUAGGCGGCGCGGUAAGUCGGGUGUGAAAUCUCGGAGCUUAACUCCGAAACUGCAUUCGAUACUGCCGUGCUUGAGGACUGGAGAGGAGACUGGAAUUUACGGUGUAGCGGUGAAAUGCGUAUAUAUCAUAAGGAAGACCAGUGGCGAAGGCGGGUCUCUGGACAGUUCCUGACGCUGAGGCACGAAGGUCAGGGGAGCAAACGGG
rnacentral:rRNA from 1 species